AAGGCGCUCUAUACGUAGCUCCUUCGACGAGUCGAGUUGUUUGGGAAUGCAGCUCUAAAUGGGAGGUAAAUUUCUUCUAAAGCUAAAUAUUGGCCAGAGACCGAUAGCGCACAAGUAGAGUGAUCGAAAGAUGAAAAGCACUUUGGAAAGAGAGUUAAAAAGCACGUGAAAUUGUUAAAAGGGAAGGGAUUGCAACCAGACUUGCUCGCGG
rnacentral:rRNA from 1 species